ACCAGACCAAGUUUUCCAACUUGAGGGAGGCAGUCAAAGGGAAUUCCACAGGGCUAACGGGGAAACAGGUCCUGUUGAAGCUUGCUUCCUGUCUUGCAUUGCCGAACCUCCCCAGAGAAGUCUCUAGUUGCUGAAGAUGACGAAGGAAGAAAAGGAAAAAGAACACCAUUUUUGACCAAUGUUCCAGGCCUUGUGAAGAAUGCUUUAUAAAUAUUAUCUCAGUUGAUCCUGACAACAAUCCUGGGAGAUGUUCCUGACAAAAGAUGUAUCCUGAGUACCAGGAAACAUCAGAAUUCUCAAAAUGUAGAGAGAGAGAGCAGUUGUGAAUUGGAAAAGAAACCAGCAGAAAGAAGGAAGACACAAUUUAGCAUCUUAUGAAGUAUGAAACUUUGCUCCUCAAACUGGAAAAUUGACAAGAUGAUCCUUUCUUUACUAACUGUGUUUUUUUGGUCAUGAAUAGCCUUUGACCUUUAACAAAAUGGAAAUAUACAUAAUUGUCAUGGCCUUCAUUUUUCUGUCAAUUGUAUUUUUCCUUGUUUUUCUAUUAUGUUUUCUGGCACACAGCAAAGCCUUUGGAAGUCAGCUUCAAGACCCCUUGUUCCAAAGUGUUUCUGUGGCCACAUUCAAUCACUCACCUUCACCUCUCCUCUUUUCAAUGUCAAAUACUUACUUCUAUCACCAUGGUCACUUAGCUGACCAUACCAACCACCACAGGGAUUUCUCUCCUUACUGGACCUGCCUUAACAAUAUGGAUUCUCCUGCAGUAUAUUGUGAUAGUGCCACUUACGAAGCAUGUGACACUUAUGGAGGGGAUGAUACUUAUAGAGGAUGUGAUAUGGGUGGAGAUGGUGGCUGUUGUCACUGAAUUACUUGAACAAAAUUCCAAUUCCUCUCCUCCAAUGACUGGCAUCCACUACAAGAUGAACAAAGGCCCCUUUGUUCUGAUGCUGUGUCCCAUUCUUCUGUGUCUAGAGCCCAUUCUAGAAAAAAAAAACCUCUUUUACUUAAUCAAAGGAUACUUUCCUUAGGUGAAAAGAAAAGAGAAUAUCCCAAACCCCAAGAUGUUAAGGUCCAAUGAGAGCAAAUAAUAAGUAAGCCAAAAGGAAAGCACAAAGGACUCUAAGAUUGACUCAGAAGCCAAUAAUGAAUAAUUCUUUAGAAAAAGCAAAGACAUGACACCAGCAGAGAAUCCAGGACUGUACCUAACCUUCAUAGCCCAAAAGGUUCACCUGUGGAUAACGGGACAGGAGAAACAAUAAAUUUUGCCCCAGUUUUUAUGGAGGAGACAUUUGUGAGGUUUUCUUUCUCAAAAUAUUUUCUGAUGUAGAUGGACUAGAGACUUUCCAUCUGGUCAAUACCCACAAUUUCCUAGACCUACUAGACAAACUAGAUGAAGAAAGAUUCUUGGGUUUUCGUGGGGUCUAGCAAAAGUUUUGAAAGGGAAUUGAGAAUAAACUUUUUUCACAGGUAGCCAUCCAUUCUGUAUUGGAUCCAUAAAGAAAAAUGGUUCCCAAGAGAAUCCCAAAAUCUACAAACUUCAUAGAAAUAUUGGAAAAGGAAGAUUAUUGAAAACCUUUCCAGCUUCAAGACCCAGUUGAGGUGCUUCCUCCUUCAUGAAGUCUUUCUUGAUGUUUCCAGCUGAAAGUGCCUUCCUCUAAAGCACUAACUCUAGAUCUCUACUCUGUUAUAUUACUUUCUACCAUGUAUUAU